CAGCAGCCACGGUAAUACAGAGGGUGCGAGCGUUAAUCGGAUUUACUGGGCGUAAAGCGUGCGUAGGCGGCUAAUUGAGUCGGAUGUGAAAUCCCCGAGCUUAACUUGGGAAUUGCAUUCGAUACUGGUUAGCUAGAGUGUGGGAGAGGAUGGUAGAAUUCCAGGUGUAGCGGUGAAAUGCGUAGAGAUCUGGAGGAAUACCGAUGGCGAAGGCAGCCAUCUGGCCUAAUACUGACGCUGAGGUACGAAAGCAUGGGGAGCAAACAGGAUUAGAUACCCCGGUAGUCCCUGUCUCUUAUAC
rnacentral:rRNA from 1 species